GACGAACGCUGGCGGCGUGCUUAACACAUGCAAGUCGAACGGAAAGGCCCUGCUUUUGUGGGGUGCUCGAGUGGCGAACGGGUGAGUAACACGUGAGUAACCUGCCCUUGACUUUGGGAUAACUUCAGGAAACUGGGGCUAAUACCGGAUAGGAGCUCCUGCUGCAUGGUGGGGGUUGGAAAGUUUCGGCGGUUGGGGAUGGACUCGCGGCUUAUCAGCUUGUUGGUGGGGUAGUGGCUUACCAAGGCUUUGACGGGUAGCCGGCCUGAGAGGGUGACCGGCCACAUUGGGACUGAGAUACGGCCCAGACUCCUACGGGAGGCAGCAGUGGGGAAUAUUGCACAAUGGGCGGAAGCCUGAUGCAGCAACGCCGCGUGCGGGAUGUCGGCCUUCGGGUUGUAAACCGCUUUCGCCUGUGACGAAGCGUGAGUGACGGUAAUGGGUAAAGAAGCACCGGCUAACUACGU
rnacentral:rRNA from 1 species